GACGAACGCUGGCGGCGUGCUUAACACAUGCAAGUCGAACGGAAAGGCCCUGCUUUUGUGGUGUGCUCGAGUGGCGAACGGGUGAGUAACACGUGAGUAACCUGCCCUUUACUUUGGGAUAACUUCAGGAAACUGGGGCUAAUACCGGAUAGGAGCUCCUGCUGCAUGGUGGGGGUUGGAAAGUUUCGGCGGUUGGGGAUGGACUCGCGGCUUAUCAGCUUGUUGGUGGGGUAGUGGCUUACCAAGGCUUUGACGGGUAGCCGGCCUGAGAGGGUGACCGGCCACAUUGGGACUGAGAUGCGGCCAAGACUCAUACGGGAGGAAGCAGUGGGGAAUAUUGCACAAUGGGCGGAAGCCGGAUGCAGCAACGCCGCGUGCGGGAUGACGGCCUUCGGGUUGUAAACCGCUUUAGCCUGUGACGAAGCGUGAGUGACGGUAAUGGGUAAAGAAGCACCGGCUAACUACGUG
rnacentral:rRNA from 1 species